rnacentral:rRNA from 1 species
UGGGGAAUAUUGCACAAUGGGCGCAAGCCUGAUGCAGCCAUGCCGCGUGUAUGAAGAAGGCCUUCGGGUUGUAAAGUACUUUCAGCGGGGAGGAAGGGAGUAAAGUUAAUACCUUUGCUCAUUGACGUUACCCGCAGAAGAAGCACCGGCUAACUCCGUGCCAGCAGCCGCGGUAAUACGGAGGGUGCAAGCGUUAAUCGGAAUUACUGGGCGUAAAGCGCACGCAGGCGGUUUGUUAAGUCAGAUAUGAAAUCCCCGGGCUCAACCUGGGAACUGCAUCUGAUACUGGCAAGCUUGAGUCUCGUAGAGGGGGGUAGAAUUCCAGGUGUAGCGGUGAAAUGCGUAGAGAUCUGGAGGAAUACCGGUGGCGAAGGCGGCCCCCUGGACGAAGACUGACGCUCAGGUGCGAAAGCGUGGGGAGCAAACAGG